AAUCUUUGUGUUUUUUAAACAGCGUGAUAGCAAAAGACGUUCAAGGAAAAUACGAGUUUGACUACAAUCCAUGCAAAACCUUUGUCAAAGAGAACUGCUCCGAUGUGUUGGUUUGCCUGUCAAAUAGUCUAGCAAACGAGUAUCUUGGAAUCGGAGGCAAAGAUGGAGCUCUGUUCAUC